AGGGCACCACCAGGAGUGGAGCCUGCGGCUUAAUUUGACUCAACAGGGGAAAACUCACCCGGCCCGGACACCGUAAGGAUUGACAGACUGAGAGCUCUUUCUUAAUUCGGUGGGUGGUGGUGCAUGGCCGUUCUUAGUUGGUGGAGCGAUUUGUCUGGUUAAUUCCGAUAACGAACGAGACUCUGGCCUAUUAAAUAGUCGGUAUAUCCAGAAAAGUUUACCGUACUUCUUAGAGGGACAAACGGCGUCUAGCCGCGUGAAAUAGAGCAAUAACAGGUCUGUGAUGCCCUUAGAUGUCCGGGGCUGCACGCGCGCUACACUGAAAGAAUCAGUAUGCGCUUUAACCUAGUCCGGAAGGAUUGGGUAACCCGAGCAAAUUCUUUCGUGCUUGGGAUAGGGAAUUGCAAUUAUUUCCCUUAAACGAGGAAUUCCCAGUAAAUGCGGGUCAUAAGCUCGCGUUGAUUACGUCCCUGCCCUUUGUACACACCGCCCGUCGCUACUACCGAUUGGAUGACUUAG
rnacentral:rRNA from 1 species